ACUAUAUCCCCAAAUAUGUCGAUUAUGCAUCCACUCUGACUCUUAUCAUAUUACCGUCAGUGGAUGCGUUUACGUAAGAUUGGUUCACAAGGGAAUGAGGGAUAUUUACUGUCAACAAUCAGGUGUAUACAAUUAAUUUAUCAAACCAUGGAAGAAAAACAAAAUAUUUCACCUAUGAUAAUUUAGAAAUAUCGCUUCCUUGCUGACUCAAUUGUGGUGGAAGAGGUUCAUGGAGCAUAAGAAUGCCAGGGGUAGAAACAAUUUAAGAAAAAAUCCUGCACUUCAGCUUGUUACAGAGGUAAAAGCAGAAUUUUAAAGAGUAAACCACAAAUUAAUCCAUGAU